AUGGUUAUGGGCUACUCUCCGGCUGACGCCCUGGACAUCGCCAACCGCCUCAAUUGCCGCCUCAGCUCCUUUCCCAUGACCUACUUGGGAACCCCCAUCAGUGACUCUCGGCUCACUGUCGCGGACUUGCACCCCACGGUGGCCAAGCUACAAACGAGCAUGGAGCCGUGGCAAGGCCGGUGGCUGUCAAAGGCGGCUCGGACGAUCCUCAUUAACUCCUCCCUCACUACCCUCCUCCUGUUUCAUAUGAGCUUCUAUAGCCUCCAUGAGACCCUCCACCAUGAGAUCGCCAAAAUCCAAUCUCGCUUCUUCUGGGCAGGUGAUAACAAUAAG
rnacentral:rRNA from 1 species